CCUACGGGUGGCAGCAGUGGGGAAUAUUGCACAAUGGGCGCAAGCCUGAUGCAGCCAUGCCGCGUGUAUGAAGAAGGCCUUAGGGUUGUAAAGUACUUUCAGUUGGGAGGAAGGCGUUGAUGCUAAUAUCAUCAACGAUUGACGUUACCAACGGAAGAAGCACCGGCUAACUCCGUGCCAGCAGCCGCGGUAAUACGGAGGGUGCAAGCGUUAAUCGGAAUUACUGGGCGUAAAGCGCACGCAGGCGGUUGAUUAAGUUAGAUGUGAAAUCCCCGGGCUCAACCUGGGAACUGCAUCUGAUACUGGCAAGCUUGAGUCUCGUAGAGGGGGGUAGAAUUCCAGGUGUAGCGGUGAAAUGCGUAGAGACCUGGAGGAAUACCGGUGGCGAAGGCGGCCCCCUGGACAAAGACUGACGCUCAGGUGCGAAAGCGUGGGGAGCAAACAGGAUUAGAUACCCCCGUAGUC
rnacentral:rRNA from 1 species